rnacentral:rRNA from 1 species
CCAGAGUUCGGGGUGCUAAUACAUGCAAGUCGAGCGGACAGAAGGGAGCUUGCUCCCGGAUGUUAGCGGCGGACGGGUGAGUAACACGUGGGUAACCUGCCUGUAAGACUGGGAUAACUCCGGGAAACCGGAGCUAAUACCGGAUAGUUCCUUGAACCGCAUGGUUCAAGGAUGAAAGACGGUUUCGGCUGUCACUUACAGAUGGACCCGCGGCGCAUUAGCUAGUUGGUGGGGUAAUGGCUCACCAAGGCGACGAUGCGUAGCCGACCUGAGAGGGUGAUCGGCCACACUGGGACUGAGACACGGCCCAGACUCCUACGGGAGGCAGCAGUAGGGAAUCUUCCGCAAUGGACGAAAGUCUGACGGAGCAACGCCGCGUGAGUGAUGAAGGUUUUCGGAUCGUAAAGCUCUGUUGUUAGGGAAGAACAAGUGCGAGAGUAACUGCUCGCACCUUGACGGUACCUAACCAGAAAGCCACGGCUAACUACGUGCCAGCAGCCGCGGUAAUACGUAGGUGGCAAGCGUUGUCCGGAAUUAUUGGGCGUAAAGGGCUCGCAGGCGGUUUCUUAAGUCUGAUGUGAAAGCCCCCGGCUCAACCGGGGAGGGUCAUUGGAAACUGGGAAACUUGAGUGCAGAAGAGGAGAGUGGAAUUCCACGUGUAGCGGUGAAAUGCGUAGAGAUGUGGAGGAACACCAGUGGCGAAGGCGACUCUCUGGUCUGUAACUGACGCUGAGGAGCGAAAGCGUGGGGAGCGAACAGGAUUAGAUACCCUGGUAGUCCACGCCGUAAACGAUGAGUGCUAAGUGUUAGGGGGUUUCCGCCCCUUAGUGCUGCAGCUAACGCAUUAAGCACUCCGCCUGGGGAGUACGGUCGCAAGACUGAAACUCAAAGGAAUUGACGGGGGCCCGCACAAGCGGUGGAGCAUGUGGUUUAAUUCGAAGCAACGCGAAGAACCUUACCAGGUCUUGACAUCCUCUGACACCCUAGAGAUAGGGCUUUCCCUUCGGGGACAGAGUGACAGGUGGAUGCAUGGUUGUCGUCAGCUCGUGUCGUGAGAUGUUGAGUUAAGUCCCGCAACGAGCGCAACCCUUGAUCUUAGUUGCC